rnacentral:rRNA from 1 species
ACUAAGCGUACACGGUGGAUGCCCUGGCAGUCAGAGGCGAUGAAGGACGUGCUAAUCUGCGAUAAGCGCCGGUAAGGUGAUAUGAACCGUUAUAACCGGCGAUUUCCGAAUGGGGAAACCCAGUGUGAUUCGUCACACUAUCAUUAACUGAAUCCAUAGGUUAAUGAGGCGAACCGGGGGAACUGAAACAUCUAAGUACCCCGAGGAAAAGAAAUCAACCGAGAUUCCCCCAGUAGCGGCGAGCGAACGGGGAGGAGCCCAGAGCCUGAAUCAGCAUGUGUGUUAGUGGAAGCGUCUGGAAAGGCGCGCGAUACAGGGUGACAGCCCCGUACACAAAAGCGCAUGUGCUGUGAGCUCGAUGAGUAGGGCGGGACACGUGGUAUCCUGUCUGAAUAUGGGGGGACCAUCCUCCAAGGCUAAAUACUCCUGACUGACCGAUAGUGAACCAGUACCGUGAGGGAAAGGCGAAAAGAACCCCGGCGAGGGGAGUGAAAAAGAACCUGAAACCGUGUACGUACAAGCAGUGGGAGCCCCACCACCAAAGCAUUCUCUGGUGUUGAAGGCCCUGCAAAGCAGCAUCGCGGUGGCGGAGCGUCGUUUGCGACGCCCAACACACAAAACAAGCGGUGAGUGCUUUGGGGUGGGGUGACUGCGUACCUUUUGUAUAAUGGGUCAGCGACUUAUAUUCUGUAGCAAGGUUAACCGAAUAGGGGAGCCGGAGGGAAACCGAGUCUUAAUUGGGCGUUAAGUUGCAGGGUAUAGACCCGAAACCCGGUGAUCUAGCCAUGGGCAGGUUGAAGGUUGGGUAACACUAACUGGAGGACCGAACCGACUAAUGUUGAAAAAUUAGCGGAUGACCUGUGGCUGGGGGUGAAAGGCCAAUCAAACCGGGAGAUAGCUGGUUCUCCCCGAAAGCUAUUUAGGUAGCGCCUCGUGAAUUCAUCUCCGGGGGUAGAGCACUGUUUCGGCUAGGGGGCCAUCCCGGCUUACCAACCCGAUGCAAACUGCGAAUACCGGAGAAUGUUAUCACGGGAGACACACGGCGGGUGCUAACGUCCGUCGUGAAGAGGGAAACAACCCAGACCGCCAGCUAAGGUCCCAAAGUCAUGGUUAAGUGGGAAACGAUGUGGGAAGGCCCAGACAGCCAGGAUGUUGGCUUAGAAGCAGCCAUCAUUUAAAGAAAGCGUAAUAGCUCACUGGUCGAGUCGGCCUGCGCGGAAGAUGUAACGGGGCUAAACCAUGCACCGAAGCUGCGGCAGCGAACGUAUCACUUAAAGCGAUUCAGCGGGUUACGAUUGACGGAGCGAAGCGACGUCAAAGCGUAUACAAAGUCGAGUCGGUUUAAGGAUACGUUCGUUGGGUAGGGGAGCGUUCUGUAAGCCUGCGAAGGUGGCCUGUGAGGGUUGCUGGAGGUAUCAGAAGUGCGAAUGCUGACAUAAGUAACGAUAAAGCGGGUGAAAAGCCCGCUCGCCGGAAGACCAAGGGUUCCUGUCCAACGUUAAUCGGGGCAGGGUGAGUCGACCCCUAAGGCGAGGCCGAAAGGCGUAGUCGAUGGGAAACGGGUUAAUAUUCCCGUACUUGGUGUUACUGCGAAGGGGGGACGGAGAAGGCUAUGUUGGCCGGGCGACGGUUGUCCCGGUUUAAGCGUGUAGGUGUGUGUUCCAGGUAAAUCCGGUUCACUUUAACACUGAGGCGUGACGACGAGGCACUACGGUGCUGAAGCAACAAAUGCCCUGCUUCCAGGAAAAGCCUCUAAGCAUCAGGUAACAUCAAAUCGUACCCCAAACCGACACAGGUGGUCAGGUAGAGAAUACCAAGGCGCUUGAGAGAACUCGGGUGAAGGAACUAGGCAAAAUGGUGCCGUAACUUCGGGAGAAGGCACGCUGACACGUAGGUGAAGUGAUUUACUCAUGGAGCUGAAGUCAGUCGAAGAUACCAGCUGGCUGCAACUGUUUAUUAAAAACACAGCACUGUGCAAACACGAAAGUGGACGUAUACGGUGUGACGCCUGCCCGGUGCCGGAAGGUUAAUUGAUGGGGUCAGCGCAAGCGAAGCUCCUGAUCGAAGCCCCGGUAAACGGCGGCCGUAACUAUAACGGUCCUAAGGUAGCGAAAUUCCUUGUCGGGUAAGUUCCGACCUGCACGAAUGGCGUAAUGAUGGCCAGGCUGUCUCCACCCGAGACUCAGUGAAAUUGAACUCGCUGUGAAGAUGCAGUGUACCCGCGGCAAGACGGAAAGACCCCGUGAACCUUUACUAUAGCUUGACACUGAACAUUGAGCCUUGAUGUGUAGGAUAGGUGGGAGGCUUUGAAGCGUGGACGCCAGUCUGCGUGGAGCCGACCUUGAAAUACCACCCUUUAAUGUUUGAUGUUCUAACGUGGACCCGUAAUCCGGGUUGCGGACAGUGUCUGGUGGGUAGUUUGACUGGGGCGGUCUCCUCCUAAAGAGUAACGGAGGAGCACGAAGGUUGGCUAAUCCUGGUCGGACAUCAGGAGGUUAGUGCAAUGGCAUAAGCCAGCUUGACUGCGAGCGUGACGGCGCGAGCAGGUGCGAAAGCAGGUCAUAGUGAUCCGGUGGUUCUGAAUGGAAGGGCCAUCGCUCAACGGAUAAAAGGUACUCCGGGGAUAACAGGCUGAUACCGCCCAAGAGUUCAUAUCGACGGCGGUGUUUGGCACCUCGAUGUCGGCUCAUCACAUCCUGGGGCUGAAGUAGGUCCCAAGGGUAUGGCUGUUCGCCAUUUAAAGUGGUACGCGAGCUGGGUUUAGAACGUCGUGAGACAGUUCGGUCCCUAUCUGCCGUGGGCGCUGGAGAACUGAGGGGGGCUGCUCCUAGUACGAGAGGACCGGAGUGGACGCAUCACUGGUGUUCGGGUUGUCAUGCCAAUGGCACUGCCCGGUAGCUAAAUGCGGAAGAGAUAAGUGCUGAAAGCAUCUAAGCACGAAACUUGCCCCGAGAUGAGUUCUCCCUGAGACUUAGAGUCUCCUGAAGGAACGUUGAAGACGACGACGUUGAUAGGCCGGGUGUGUAAGCGCAGCGAUGCGUUGAGCUAACCGGUACUAAUGAACCGUGAGGCUUAACC